rnacentral:rRNA from 1 species
AGUGAACGCUGGCGGUAGGCCUAACACAUGCAAGUCGAACGGCAGCACAGUAAUAGCUUGCUCUUACGGGUGGCGAGUGGCGGACGGGUGAGGAAUACAUCGGAAUCUACUUUUUCGUGGGGGCUAACGUAGGGACACUUACGCUAAUACCGCAUACGACCUACGGGUGAAAGCAGGGGAUCUUCGGACCUUGCGCGAUUGAAUGAGCCGAUGUCGGAUUAGCUAGUUGGCGGGGUAAAGGCCCACCAAGGCGACGAUCCGUAGCUGGUCUGAGAGGAUGAUCAGCCACACUGGAACUGAGACACGGUCCAGACUCCUACGGGAGGCAGCAGUGGGGAAUAUUGGACAAUGGGCGCAAGCCUGAUCCAGCCAUACCGCGUGGGUGAAGAAGGCCUUCGGGUUGUAAAGCCCUUUUGUUGGGAAAGAAAAGCAGCAGGUUAAUACCCCGCUGUUCUGACGGUACCCAAAGAAUAAGCACCGGCUAACUUCGUG